rnacentral:sRNA from 1 species
UUUUACUAAACUGCCCUCCCUGGAUUUUCCAGAAACUUUAUGACAUUACUUCUUCAUUCCUUUCCUUUCGGACAUCACCAACUUUAGGUGAACUAAAACUGUCAAAAAUUCAGAAAAACGUGAAGGAGAACAUCCAAGACAAUAUCUCCUUGUUCAGUUUGGGCAUGGGAUUUGAUGUGGACUAUGAUUUUUUGAAGAGACUAUCCAGUGAAAACCGUGGAAUUGCACAAAGGAUUUAUGGAAACCAGGACACGUCUUCCCAGCUUAAGAAAUUCUACAACCAGGUCUCCACUCCAUUGCUCCGGAAUGUUCAGUUCAACUAUCCCCAUACGUCAGUCACGGACAUCACUCAAAACAAUUUCCAUAACUACUUUGGAGGUUCAGAGAUUGUGGUGGCAGGAAAAUUCGACCCUGCUAAAUUGGAUCAAAUAGAGAGCGUUAUCACGGCAACUUCGGCUAACACGCAGUUAGUCUUGGAGACCCUGGCCCAGAUGGACGACUUGCAGGAUUUUCUAUCGAAAGACAAGCAUGCAGAUCCCGAUUUUACCAGGAAACUGUGGGCCUAUCUAACCAUCAACCAACUGCUAGCUG